CGCACGGUGAGUAACGCGUAUGCGACCUGCCCGUUGCAGGGGGAUAAUCGGGAGAAAUCCCGUCUAAUACCGCGUAACGCCGCGGGGCUGCAUGGCCCUGCGGCCAAAGGGAGCGAUUCCGGCAACGGAUGGGCAUGCGUGACAUUAGCUAGUUGGCGGGGCAACGGCCCACCAAGGCGACGAUGUCUAGGGGUUCUGAGAGGAAGGUCCCCCCACACUGGUACUGAGACACGGACCAGACUCCUACGGGAGGCAGCAG
rnacentral:rRNA from 1 species